rnacentral:rRNA from 1 species
UACAGAGGUCCCGAGCGUUGUCCGGAUUGACUGGGCGUAAAGCGCACGCAGGCGGCCCGGCGCGUGGGGUGUGAAAGCUGGCGGCUUAACUGCCAGAUGCCAUCCCAUACGGCUGGGCUCGAGCCCUGCAGAGGUCCAUGGAAUUGCCGGUGUAGUGGUGAAAUGCGUAGAGAUCGGCAGGAACACCCAGGGGGAAACCAGUGGACUGGGCAGGAGGCUGACGCUGCAGGUGCGGAAAGCGUGGGGAGCGGAACCGG